GAUGAACGCUGGCGGCGUGCCUAAUACAUGCAAGUCGAGCGAACAGACGAGGAGCUUGCUCCUCUGACGUUAGCGGCGGACGGGUGAGUAACACGUGGAUAACCUACCUAUAAGACUGGGAUAACUUCGGGAAACCGGAGCUAAUACCGGAUAAUAUAUUGAACCGCAUGGUUCAAUAGUGAAAGACGGUUUUGCUGUCACUUAUAGAUGGAUCCGCGCCGCAUUAGCUAGUUGGUAAGGUAACGGCUUACCAAGGCAACGAUGCGUAGCCGACCUGAGAGGGUGAUCGGCCCCACGGGAGCUGAGACACGGUCCAGACUCCUACGGGAGGCAGCAGUAGGGAAUCUUCCGCAAUGGGCGAAAGCCUGACGGAGCAACGGCGCGUGAGUGAUGAAGGUCUUCGGAUCGUAAAACUCUGUUAUUAGGGAAGAACAAAUGUGUAAGUAACUAUGCACGUCUUGACGGUACCUAAUCAGAAAGCCACGGCUAACUACGUG
rnacentral:rRNA from 1 species